AAAAACAGUCCGUAGAGGGAAGCACAGUCAGGCAGCAAAGAGAAGGCAAUAAAUCUCAUAAUCGGCAGAAAUGGCUGAUGCCGAUAUUUCAUUUUAGAGCUUUUAUCGGCCAAUACUGAUGUAGUGUCGAUAAUAUCAUGCAUCCCUAUGUUCAACCAUCUAACAAACUGAUAUUGUUUUGGAGAGUGUUUCUUUAGUUUUGUUUGUUUCUUUAUUUUUUUCUCUUUUCCUUGUUUUGUUACACCACUGGCAGGAGGCCCUUUUUCUUUAACUGUUGAUAACCAAUGUUAAGCGUCAGGUCAACUGUAAUAUUGUGUUUUUUUUGUUUGGUUGAAUAACUUCAUUAAUUGUAUAUAUUCUCUUUUUUAUCUUUCAGGAGCUGAGAGCUUGGGGUUGGUGGGGUUGGUGCUUGUAGGUGGUGGUACCUCCUUUCCUGUGUGUUGUGUUCAUCUGAGCAUCCUGGGUUUGGCCCUUCACCAUUGUGUGGAUGUGUGCGCACAUGUGGUUCGGGGUGACUCUCUUCUGGAUACCUAUUCUUCUCCCCCCUCCACUGGUAACCUGUAAGUGGAGGUUCUCUACCUUGAAGUACAUCAAAGGCAGACUCAGGAGCAACCUCUCACAAGAACAUCAAGAGGCUUUCAUGCUGAUGGCCACGAAGAAGGACAUCCUAAUGGCCUUGGAUACUGACAUGCUUGCCCCUUAUCAAUACCACCACCAUCUCCAUCCCCACCUCCCUCCUCCACCCUGGAGUGAGGAUACCGACGCUAGCCUCAGUGCCCCUCUCUCCGUCAUUCCCACCUCCUUCCUCCAUCCUGGAGUGAGGAUACGUUACCCCACCUUUUUUGUUUAUUUUUUAUUUAUUGUUCAUAGACACCAAUACCGUAGCACUAGUACAAAGGUCUAAAAUACCUGGUGUUUAUUUCAAUAUUAUUUAUUGAUUAUAAACCAACAAUUCCAAAGAGUAAUUGUACUUUAACAGAAGAAGAAAUAUGUACAGUAGAUGUUUACACUUAUUAUUUAUUGUUUAUAGACCAGCAAUACCCAGAAGAGUAACCCUGAAGAGUAAGUCCUUCAAGUUUCAAGAUUAAAGUGAUCAAAUUGGCAAUGGCAUUAUCUGACUUAUUUCCCGUGUUGAAAUAGAUUAUACAGUCUAUUCAGAUAUAGACAUCAUGAAACAAUAGCUGUGUUUCCAUUAACCUAUUUUUAUGUGCAUUUUGAAGUAUCGCAUUGAAAAAGCUUAAUGGAAACACCAAACCUCGAAAAAAAAUUCCUCAAUUUUGCAAAAAAAAAUUUUUACACUCGCUUGAGGUGGAUUAUGGAAAUGUUGAAAAAGAGUUUAUGCGCAAAAUGAGUGGAAAUGCAUUUGUUGAAUAAAUGUAGCGAACCUUUAACUUAACAUGACUGACCAGCUGUUUCCACUCGUGGUGUCUUCUGGCGUCUCCAGAUAGCAUUAAGCAUGGUCAAUACUAGCUGACAUGAAAGAACAAUUACAACUUGCCAAAUUGAAACAAAUUCCUGAAGACCUCUCUCCACCGCCAUAUUCUGAUGAAACUAUGCAUUGCAUAGCCUAGUAUAUUCGCUUAAAACCAGUUGAUGGAAAUGCACCUAAUUUGCAUUUCACUUUUUGUGGCAUUUCAAAAGUUUGCUUAAAAUUCUCUUGUUAAUCUAAUGGAAACACAGCUACUGACUGCACAAUAUGGUAGCCUGAAUGUAUCAUGGUAUCCUCACAGUGGUGACCUGCUGGCAACAAACCUCUUACCUGCUCUUAAAAUAGCUCUGUAUUAGUGUUACAGUAGCCUAGAGUAUCCAUCCUUUUUGCUUAUAAGUGAUGGUAUUAAGGGCUGGUGUGUUUGUAUGUGUGUCGAUGGGGCAGGGGUCAUGGAGUAUCCACAGGCUGGUUGUGGUGGGCUGGUCUGGGUAAAAAUUUCCAGGGCCAUUUUUUAGUCUCAGUGCGUCCCUGGAGCAAAGACAAUUAUCUGAAGCAUGUAGGCACACAUUGUGCAAAGAAAGAAAUGACAAACAAGGGAGAAAGUGACUCAAACAAAGGACGAAAGAAUGUUGAGUCUAUAUAUCUUAGUAUCAUAUCAUCUUAUUUUGCUUAAACUUGUAACAUAUGCCUGUUAUGUGACUACAUUUCACUUGGUCUGAAUGCAAGUUAAGUUGUAUGGCUCAUUUUCUUGCUUCAGGUGUUAUUUUCUUAAUAGCAAUAAAGUUGAGCACCAUUUUCUUCUUUA